UGGGAAACCGGGGCUAAUACCGGAUAUGAGGUGCCCGGGCAUCCGGGUGACUGGAAAGGGUUUCUGGUCGGGGAUGGGCUCGCGGCCUAUCAGCUUGUUGGUGGGGUGAUGGCCUACCAAGGCGACGACGGGUAGCCGGCCUGAGAGGGCGACCGGCCACACUGGGACUGAGAUACGGCCCAGACUCCUACGGGAGGCAGCAGUGGGGAAUAUUGGACAAUGGGCGAAAGCCUGAUCCAGCAAUGCCGCGUGAGUGAAGAAGGCCUUCGGGUUGUAAAGCUCUUUUGCCCGGGAAGAUAAUGACUGUACCGGGAGAAUAAGCCCCGGCUAACUCCGUGCCAGCAGCCGCGGUAAU
rnacentral:rRNA from 1 species